GCGCAGCCUGAUCCAGCCAUGCCGCGUGAGUGAUGAAGGCCUUAGGGUUGUAAAGCUCUUUCACCGGUGAAGAUAAUGACGGUAGUCGGAGAAGAAGCCCCGGCUAACUUCGUGCCAGCAGCCGCGGUAAAUGAAGGGGGCUAGCGUUGUUCGGAAUUACU
rnacentral:rRNA from 1 species